AUGAUCUCCCAGGCUCAGCUCAACUGGCUACUAGUGCUCUGGAUCCAGGACUCUAGCGGGGACAUUGUGGUGACUCAGACUCCAGAAUCCCUGGCAGUGUCUCCAGGAGAGAAAGUCACCAUCAACUGCAAAGCCAGUUCAAGCCUUACUUACGAAGGCAAGGAAUACUUAGCCUGGUACCAGCAGAAAUCAGGAGAAAAGCCGAAGCGCCUUAUCUAUCUUGCUUCCACCCGUCCCUCUGGGAUCCCAGACCGGUUCAGUGGCAGUGGGUCUGGGACCGAUUUCACUCUCACAAUCAGCAGGGUUGAAGCGGAUGAUGCUGGAGAUUAUUACUGUCAGCAGUAUCGCAGCUACCCUUCACACAGUGAUACAGACCAGCACAAAAACCUGCCU